UAUUUUUGUUACUGCAAAACUGGUUCAGUUUGGUUUUGGUUCGUCUAAAACCAGACUCAUCCGAUUUUAACCGAAUUCGAUAAAGAAACAUCGUUUGUUCUAACCCACAGAGUAUACUUUUCAUUUGCUUCGGGUGCUAUGUCUAUACCCUCCUCUUUGCUCUGUUUUCACUCAGCUUUAGGGUUAUCUUUGUCAAAACUGAAAGGGGAGAGAGAGAGGGAGGAUACAGGAUUGGAGAAAGAGAUGAAAGUCAAGUCAAUGGUUGUGACCAUUUUCUGGUUUUUAAGAUGAAAAUAAAAACAAAACAAUGACUUUGGAUACAGCGGAGACGAAGCCGGCCUUCCUUGUUCUUAUUGGGUCUACCAAAAGCAGAAAACUUUUCAGUCUCCAGUGGUCUCAUCAUCAUCAGGCAAGUUACUCAACGUUCAUGUGUUCGGAGACUUCAAUAGAUAGUUGAGCUGGAGAGGAAUGUGCAAGCUUUACAGGCAAAAGGUUGUGAAGGUUUGGCGGAGCUUGAAUUUUCGAUUCAACAGAGUCUAAUUUUAAGCGUACAGGAGCAACUUAAGCAACUGAAUCUACCUUGACAGUUCAGGUUGUGAGCUGAAGUACGCUGUUAAUGUUUCUAGGGCGUUACAGUCGAGUGCUGUCUCAGAACUUCCUAACACGUCCAUGUUGGACUAGAUGGAACAGGAUCAUCAUGCAGUGGAGAAGAAUCAAGGAUUUAGAAAAUCCCUCUUUCAUGUGUCAGAUCUAAUUUAUAUGGAUGAUUUAGGGUGAAAGCUUCGGCAUUUUAUGCUUCAAUAUAAUUGGAUUAUCUCAUGGGCUAGAGGAAUUAACAAUUAAGGUUGAGACAUUUGAUUGAAUUAUCUUUUUGAACUAAAGAUUCAGGAGCUUGCAAUUUUAUAUGAUAUAUUUUAUAAACAAAAUUGAGGGAUUUGGUUCUUCUUGUUCAAUCUCCUUCACAAUACUCUGUUUCUUUUCUCAUAACAACCAAUAAAGGAUUCAUGAUCAAUACAAACAAAAUAGUCAAUCUUUCAUAAUUACUAAAGAAAAACUAAAAAUGAUUUUUUCUUUUUGAAGAAAAAAAAUAGAGUUUCAGAUUGUAUAAACUGAGUGCUACAUAUAUAUAUAUAUAUAUAUGUUUUUUUUUUUUUGAUAUAUAUAUAAACUGAGUGAUAGAUAUGUUUUUAAUAUUUCAAAUUUUGAAAUACUUGUGCCGAACAUGUAUUUACAUCUUAAAAACUUGUAGUUUAAUUCCCUGUUUUCAUUCUACAAUCCAGUAUUACAAAAAUAGUUUCAUAAAACGUUACAGGACACACCCUAACAAUACUUAUCUUUAUUAACAAUUUUCUAUCCAAAGCAUUUUGAAUUUAUUAGAAACUUCUAUUUUCAAAAUAAGUUUCAUAACAAAUUGAUAUUUCUCUUACCUUUUAAUUAACAAGAUGGCUUUCGUAAUAGUAUAGAUUACACCAGAAAUGAAAAAAAUAGGAACUCUAAGCUCUAUCCCAAAUUUCUUCAAUUCAGUUCAUUAGGUAGUUUCUUUCCCUUUCAGUUUUAUUUUUUAUAUUUUUUUAUUUUGUAUGCAUUCAUGCCAUAUUACAACACCUAUGCUAAGAGUUAAGACAUUGAUUAUGAAUCAAAUCCUUUAGCUAGAUUUUCUUGUGGACAGGUUAGGAGACCUAGUGCUAAAAGACUUACCCUAGACGUAUUGGACUACAUAUUUUUAAUCAACUCCUCAAAUUUUAUCAUAAAAUAGUAGACCAUUGUCCAAUUGAUGGUUUUGGUGACAUCCCUUUUUAAUUAAUACUCGACCAUCAUGCAUAUGCACAAGCUUGCAAAAGUUGUUGUUUGUAAGAUAUACAGGUAGAAUGAGCCCUAGGGUCUUAGUUUAAGAUUCCUAUCUUGGACUUUGGCUGUUAGCUUUGCUACUUUGCUCACAUGUACGUCCAAUCUCACUAGGGAUGAAUGUUGAGGAUAUAUUAAUGGACUUUCAAGAGAUAGUGAUGCAGAGGGAGUGGCAACUUAUGCAAUGCCAUUGGGAUAAUUCUGUUUCAAGUAGACCUUUAAAAGUACAAAAAAAUUGCAAGAAAGAAGCUUUUGAGGGUGUACAUAAAUAUGUGAUAUCUGGUUAUGCAUCACAUAUGACAUAACUGUUGUGAAUUUGGCUUGUUGAUAUGCCUAAAUUGAUUAGGAUUCAAGACAAAACCAGAUGGGUAAAUGAAGAUUAGUGCGCACAGGAAUUCUUCCAGUAUCCUAAUGGGUUUUGGAAUAGGAAGAGUUAUUCCUAUUGAUUUAGACCUGGAAAGUAAGUUCUGUUCUAGUUAGGAAUAGGAAAGCUAGCUCUCUUUCCUUGUUCUAAUAGUUUUAGGAAUCCUAAAUGUGACAUGUUUGUAACCAGCACCUAUAAUCUAUAAAUAGGGCUGCAGGGAGGUUACAUAAUGUGUCCUCAGAUCAGAGAAGAGAUCAAAAAGAGAUCUCAGAGAGUGCUUAGUUAACAUACAAACACAGGGGCAGGGAGAGCCAAUGGUGAUAGAGAGAUCUAGCAAAGGGGUUGGGGAUUAGCAUAGGGAUUUCAAUAAGUACUUGUAAUCAAGUUAUUCUCCAUAGUGCUAGUGAUUCUCAAGAGAGAUCACACAGAGGACGUAGGCAAAGUUUUUGUCGAACCUCUAUAAAAUUUUGUGUUCGUGUGCUGUGAUAUUUUGCAUCAUCAUUCUAUUACUGUUUGCAGUCAUAAGUCUAUAAAGAGAAACAAGGUUCUGGGUAAAAGGUGCUUAUUUACUACAAUAACACAUAGCAUAGAACUGAAUAGAGGUAAAAAAAAGAUAAUAGUCCCCUUUUAAUAAACUAAAAUGUAUUUUUCACGCGUAAUAUGAACCAAGUCUGGUUUAUCUUCUCUUCAUAUCUAGGCUUCCAUUUCCUUCUCUCUUCAUUUGAAAACU